GUAAGACAGAUUGGGUGGAUGUGAAAUGGACACAUGGAGUCUUGAACCACAGCAAUCAGGAACAUGGUUGCUGUGGAGUUUGUCAUGCAGGUAGUCGAGGCUUUUCCUCUGACAUCAUCUGAAAUCAAGAUACCUUCCUGUAUCAAGCAGCUCCUGUCAGAACUGUGUAAAGAGAUAGCUGUAAUGAUCCUACAAGCAUCAGGUAUGUAUUGCAAGUACACAAUCAAGCAGAACAGUACAAGUUGUUUUACUACAUAUAUAGGCUUGAAAAGCCAAACCUCCUACAAAGUGAUCCAUAGCAAUUCUGGAGUGGUGAGUUUGAUUUUCAUUAUGCUGGCUUAACAAAGGUACUGAAAACAUGUUGUUUAUAUAUUUAAGCUUAUUAUUAUGGUUCCAUAUUAUUAUAUUAGUUGUAACUGAAGUUGUAAUUCUGAGUCACAUAAAACUAAUUUAUUGCAGAGCUUGAAGAUGUGCUGGAAGAGACAGUAGAUACUCGUUCAGUCCUCCAGCUCCACCAUUACAACUUCCUGGAUGUGUUUUACGAGCUGCUUCACUUCAGAUACUCCACUUCACUCAGCUCCUGAGGCAGGAUGAGGGAUGAUUCUUGCAGAGCCUGUUUGGGUUCAUCAACAUGUGGGACACAGAUGUUUGGGAGCCUGCAGCAGAGUUGUACUUCACAGUGCCUAUUGAUUCCUCUGGGUUCUCUGUUUUUCUCCCACUACCCAUAGACCUACUGGUUGGUGGAUUGCCUAUGCUAUCUUGCCCCAGGGUGUGAAUGAGUGUGUGACUGUGUGUGUAUCUAUGGUCUCCUGAGAUGGACUGAUGUCCCAUCUAAGAUAUAUUACUGCCUCUUGCCCAGUUAUCCCGGGAUAGACUCUGGAUCCUCCUUGACCCUGAGCAGGAU
ensembl:lncRNA